rnacentral:rRNA from 1 species
GUGGCGGACGGGUGAGUAACACGUGAGAAUUUGCCUUUAGGAGGGGGAUAACAGAGUGAAAACGCUGCUAAUACCCCAUAUGCUUUCGAGUGAAAUGGAUUUAUUCGCCUAAAGAGAAGCUCGCGGCUGAUUAGCUUGUUGGUAAGGUAAUGGCUUACCAAGGCGACGAUCAGUAUCUGGUUUGAGAGGACGAUCAGACACACUGGAACUGAGACACGGUCCAGACUCCUACGGGAGGCAGCAGUGGGGAAUUUUCCGCAAUGGGCGAAAGCCUGACGGAGCAAUACCGCGUGAGGGAUGACUGCCUAUGGGUUGUAAACCUCUUUUCUCAGGGAGGAAAUCAAUGACGUUACCUGAGGAAUAAGCAUCGGCUAACUCCGUGCCAGCAGCCGCGGUAAGACGGAGGAUGCAAGUGUUAUCCGGAAUCACUGGGCGUAAAGCGUCUGUAGGUGGCUUAACAAGUCAACUGUUAAAUCUUGAAGCUCAACUUCGAAAUCGCAGUCGAAACUGUUA